rnacentral:tRNA from 1 species
CUUUGGGUGGUGUAAAGGAUUAACGCACUUGGCUGUUAACCAAAAAGUUGGCAGUUUGAAUCCACCCAGAGG